GCUCCGGUGGCUUAGUGGUUAGAGAUUACGCCUCGGAUGCGGAAGGUCACGGGUUCGAAUACCAGCCGAGUCA